GCGAUUAUUGGGCCUAAAGCGUUCGUAGCCGGCUGAGUGAAUCUUUUGUGAAAUUGUCAAGCUUAACUUGAUAGCGCGCAGGAGAGACUGCUCAGCUAGGNACCGGGAGGAGUUAGAAGUAUUCCGGGGGGAGCGGUAAAAUGUUAUAAUCCUCGGAAGACUACCUGUGGCGAAAGCGUCUAACCAGAACGGAUCCGACGGUCAGGAACGAAAGCCAGGGGAGCAAAACGGAUUAGAUACCCGAGUAGUCCUGGCUGUAAACUCUGUGAGCAAGGUGUUGCAUAUUCUACAUGAAUGUGCAGUACCGAAACGAAGGUGUUAAGCUCACCGCCUGGGAAGUACGGUCGCAAGACUGAAACUUAAAGGAAUUGGCGGGGGAGCACUACAAGGGGUGCGGCGUGCGGUUUAAUCUAAUUCCACACAGAGAAUCUCACCAGGAGCGACGGCAGAAUGAAAGUCAUGCUGAAGACAUUACUUGACGAGCCGAGAGGUAGUGCAUGGCCGCCGUCAGCUCGUGCCGUAAGGUGUCCUGUUAAGUCAGGCAACGAGCAAGACCUGUAUCCACAAUUGCUAUCGGAUCCUCUAGGAUGACUGGGCACUUUGUGGGGACUGCCUCGGAAACGAGGAGGAAGGUGCAGGCAACGGUAGGUCUGUAUGCUCCGAAUCUCCUGGGCUACACGCGCGCAACAAUGGUAGGGACAAUGGGAUACGACUCCGAAAGGAGAAGUUAAUCCUCGAAACCCUAUCCAAGUCCGGAUUGAGGAUUGUAACUCAUCCUCAUGACGAUGGAAUCCCUAGUAAUGAGACGUCAUCAGCGUCCCGUGAAUAUGUCCCUGCUCCUUGCA
rnacentral:rRNA from 1 species